AAGAGUAGAGCUAGUCUGUUUUCUGUAGUUUAAUAUCACCAUAUAAGAGCACAUCCUGAGCUGUUUAUAGCUUUGCUAAGGUUUAACCAUUUGCACAUUUGAAGCAUUCCCUGCUGUGUAUACCUCAGAGACUUUUGCCGGGGAAAGCGUCAGCUAAGGCACUUCAGCCACUUCCAAGAAAUAGAUUUCUAAGAAUUUUGAUUAAAAAGUGUCGAGACAAGGAGUGAGGCAAGAUGUGAUACUGAGAUGACUGGACAAGAGCCCAAAGGGCAAGGAUCCUGUGUAAAGAAGGCAUACACGACACCCUGCAAUACAACACUGCAGGAGUUCCAGUAUGAGACGUCACGUGAUAUCACAGCCAGCUUUUAUUGGUGAUGACCAGAGCUCUGCUAAGAUGGAUCUGUGAGAUCCUCAUAGCUGCCACUAUCUGCCACCAGCAGCAACAUGCUGAUGUGAUGUAUUUUGGAGGAAACUUUAUGGAUGCUGGCAGUCAUCAUUCAGUGAAGAAAGAUGUGAAGUUCUCGCUGAAGUUCAGAACACCAAGCUGUGGGAGCCACCACAUAAACACAGCCCACUUGCAAGAUCCAUGACCCAAUAAUCUAAUGAGUCAUAAGAUGUUUCAGUGGGUGUUUUUUAAUGAAGUACAUGAAAUACAGAAACAGAUGGAAACCAUUGUGAGAGAGCCCAAUAAAAAGGUCAAGCAAACAACAAGAGAAUUACUAAAAAAAUUGGCCCUGGGAAAAAAGAGAAAUAGUGUGAGCACUUCUUGGGCAGGAUACUCUCAGGAAAGGGUGUUUGGAAUUGCACUGCAAGAAUUUGCCUUCUACUGUUUAACUUAAAUUAUGUUCCAGCAUCAAGGUGGUCAUGUACUUAUGCCCCUGAAGAACUAGAAUAGCAACAAAACAUGAUGAAGCCUAACUUUUCUCAGCCCUGAGAUUAUUCCCUUUUAUGUGGAUAAAAGUAUCACAGAAAUCACCUUUGCUUUCACAAGCAGGAAUUAAAUAUCCCUUUUUUUUCAUAAUUCCUUCAAAAUAUCCCCAUGUUUAAAGAAGGGGCAAUUUGAGUGGUUUUCUGAGUGACUUGUUUUUUUCAGUGAAAAUCUUUCAGCUGGAAACAAGAUCUACCACAAAUCUGACUUUUCCUAAGAUUUUUUGGAUUUUGUCACUCU